GGCCGGCUAGCUUAGUUGGUAGAGCGUGGUGCUAAUAUUCGGGUUACUGGGGCUAUCGCCUUGAUUCCUGAGCUUGUUACGCCAAGGUCGUCGGUUCGAUCCCGGCGUUGGCCA
rfam:Daedalea quercina L-15889 unplaced genomic scaffold DAEQTscaffold_6, whole genome shotgun sequence.